rnacentral:rRNA from 1 species
UACGAGAGCCUCGAGCGUUAUCCGGAAUUAUUGGGCGUAAAGGGUGCGUAGGUUGUUCUGUUAGUCUUUUGUCAAAACCCUGAGCUUAACUUAGGGAUCGCGAAAGAAACGGCAGAACUUGAAAGUGCGAGAGGCGUACGGAACUCAUGGUGUAGGGGUGAAAUCCGUUGAUAUCAUGGGGAACACCAAAAGCGAAAGCAGUACGCUGGCGCAUAUUUGACACUGAAGCACGAAAGCAUGGGUAGCGAAUGGG